GCUAAAUAUGGCGAUAUCAUCGAGGUAGGCACAGGUAUACUCCUGGAGACCCUCUAGCAACCGGUCCACCAUCCUCUGGAAGGUGGCUGGGGCAUUCUUCAUCCCUAAUGGCAUUACCCGAAAUUGGUACAGGCGAAAUGGGGUGACAAAGGCUGGCUUUGGAAUAGCCUCCGCGGCUAGGAGUAUUUGCCAAUACCCCUUGCACAGAUCUUUGCUGGUGAGGUAUCUGCCCUGAGCCAUUUUGUUUAACAGCUCGUCAAUGCGAGGCAUGGGGUAGGCAUCUGAGACCAUCUUGUCAUUGAGCCUCCGGUAGUCCACACAGAACCGGGUGGUACCGUCUUGCUUGGGGGACCAGCCCUACCG